rnacentral:rRNA from 1 species
AUAGGAGACAAGAAGGCAUCUUCUUGUUUUUAAAAGACCUAGCAAUAGGUAUGCUUAGGGAGGAGCUUGCGUCACAUUAGUUAGUUGGUGGGGUAAAGGCCUACCAAGACUAUGAUGUGUAGCCGGGCUGAGAGGUUGAACGGCCACAUUGGGACUGAGACACGGCCCAAACUCCUACGGGAGGCAGCAGUAGGGAAUUUUCGGCAAUGGAGGAAACUCUGACCGAGCAACGCCGCGUGAACGAUGAAGUAUUUCGGUACGUAAAGUUCUUUUAUUAGGGAAGAAUAAAUGAUGGAAAAAUCAUUCUGACGGUACCUAAUGAAUAAGCCCCGGCUAACUAUGUGCCAGCAGCCGCGGUAAUACAUAGGGGGCAAGCGUUAUCCGGAAUUAUUGGGCGUAAAGGGUGCGUAGGCGGUUAAAUAAGUUUAUGGUCUAAGUGCAAUGCUCAACAUUGUGAUGCUAUAAAAACUGUUUAGCUAGAGUAAGAUAGAGGCAAGUGGAAUUCCAUGUGUAGUGGUAAAAUGCGUAAAUAUAUGGAGGAACACCAGUAGCGAAGGCGGCUUGCUGGGUCUUUACUGACGCUGAGGCACGAAAGCGUGGGGAGCAAACAGGAUUAGAUACCCUGGUAGUCCACGCCGUAAACGAUGAGUACUAAACGUUGGGUAAAACCAGUGUUGAAGUUAACACAUUAAGUACUCCGCCUGAGUAGUACGUACGCAAGUAUGAAACUUAAAG